GCUGGGUGUCGUGGUGGGCGCCUGUAAUCCCAGCUACUUGGGAGGCUGAGGCAGGAGAAUGGCUUGAACCCGGGAGGCACUGGUUGUAGUGAGCCGAGAUCACGCCUUCUGCACUCCAGCCUGGGUGAAAGAGCGAAACUCUGUCUCUA
ensembl:misc_RNA Metazoa_SRP Metazoan signal recognition particle RNA